CAGUAGCCGCGGUAAUACGAAGGGUGCAAGCGUUAAUCGGAUUUACUGGGCGUAAAGGGUGCGUAGGCGGUUAGUUAAGUCUGUCGUGAAAUCCCCGGGCUCAACCUGGGAAUGGCGAUGGAUACUGGCUGGCUGGAGUGUGUCAGAGGAUGGUGGAAUUUCCGGUGUAGAGGUGAAAUUCGUAGAUAUUGGGAAGAACGCCGGUGGCGAAGGCGGCAACCUGGUCCAUGACUGACGCUGAGGCGCGAAAGCGUGGGGAGCAAACAGGAUUAGAUACCCCGGUAGUCCCUGUCUCUUAUAA
rnacentral:rRNA from 1 species